AAAGAGAAAACGAGAGAAGGAGAUUAGUGACGAUGCGUUUGUAAUGACGAUGUCGCGAAAACUCCAUCCGACUGCAAGGGCCACGCGCGAAUGCGGCUGCCGCCCGGCGUCGCCGACGAGGCGCAACGAGGUGCAUGGCGUCGUCGACGACGACCGGAGAUGCCGACGGAGUGGGAAACCGAGGAUGCGACACAUCGGACGAUCGGUGACGAUGCCCAGUGCAUACGAAAGGCUCGCGCGAACGGCGCUCUAUCAGCGCUGUCCGGGAUCCGAAAAUAGGAUCACAUCCGCUGGAUGGACAUCGCGUCUUUUCGAAAUAAUCCCUCGUGGACCGGGAACAGGGACAUCGAUCGGCGGAAAAUGGCGUGAAAUUGUUUCGGAUUUAUAUUCAGGUCGGAUGGAUCUUUCUGGGAAGGUGCGUAAUGUGAAUAAGUACGAAAUAUGACGGUGUCUCGAUGAAGACGUGUGUUUUAUCGCAGAAUUUAUUAUAUAAAUGGGAAUGUAUUUCAUUAGAGAAUAAAAUUGCAAAAAAUUUACUCUGCUAUUGUGCCAAUUUGAACUUGAAGAGCCUCUCGAAGAAAUUGUACUUCAAAUUCUAAAGCAUCUUCUAUUUGUUUUACAAAUGUUUAUCACGUACACGCGUAACUAUUGCACACAAUCGACAGCUGACUUCUAAUCACAAGACUCCUGAGCGUUUCCAAGAAUGAUUCCGGAUGCAUGACAAACAAAAUUAAGAGAUCGAUAUUUAAUCAACCUUCAGCUCGACUUUUUCAAUUUAUGCCUAUCAUCUAUUAGCCUGUUGACUACCAAUAAAGCCAAUGAGAAUUUGCAGCCAUUAUUGCAACGCGCAAUCCAAUUCUUAUCUUCCUUAAAAGUUAGAUAUGUGGUACAAAUUAAUAUUAUAUAAUGACUAAUAGCUAUACCUUUGUAGAGUAUUUGUGUAAUAUAAUCUAAUAAAAUGUAGACAAAAAUAAAACCAUGAUAAAUCAAUA